UACGAAGGGGGCUAGCGUUGCUCGGAAUCACUGGGCGUAAAGCGCACGUAGGCGGAUUGCUAAGUCAGGGGUGAAAUCCUGGAGCUCAACUCCAGAACUGCCUUUGAUACUGGCAACCUUGAGUCCGGGAGAGGUGAGUGGAACUGCGAGUGUAGAGGUGAAAUUCGUAGAUAUUCGCAAGAACACCAGUGGCGAAGGCGACUUACUGGACACAUAUUGACGCUGAGGUGCGAAAGCGUGGGGAGCAAACAGG
rnacentral:rRNA from 1 species